GUGCUCACUUCAGCAGCACAUAAACUGAAAUUGGAACAAUACAGAGAAGAUUCACAUGGCUCCUCCAUGAGGAUGACAUGUAAAAAGUUGUCCUCUCUGGGAAUGAU
ensembl:snRNA U6 U6 spliceosomal RNA